rnacentral:rRNA from 1 species
UACGUAGGGUGCGAGCGUUGUCCGGAAUUACUGGGCGUAAAGAGCUCGUAGGUGGUUUGUCGCGUUGUUCGUGAAAACCGGGGGCUUAACCCUCGGCGUGCGGGCGAUACGGGCAGACUUGAGUACUGCAGGGGAGACUGGAAUUCCUGGUGUAGCGGUGGAAUGCGCAGAUAUCAGGAGGAACACCGGUGGCGAAGGCGGAUCUCUGGGCCUUACCUGACGCUCAGGUGCGAAAGCUAGGGGAGCGAACAGG